rnacentral:rRNA from 1 species
AAUCAACGUUGGCGGCGCGCUUAACACAUGCAAGUCGAACGAGAAAGGGGAGCAAUCCCUGAGUAAAGUGGCGUACGGGUGAGUAACACGUGGGUAAUCUACCUUUUGGUGGGGGAUAACCUGGGGAAACCUGGGCUAAUACCGCAUAAUCCCGCAAGGGAAAAGCAGCAAUGCGCCGAUAGAGGAGCCCGCGGCCGAUUAGCUAGUUGGUGGGGUAAAGGCUCACCAAGGCGAAGAUCGGUAGCCGGCCUGAGAGGGCACACGGCCACACUGGCACUGAAACACGGGCCAGACUCCUACGGGAGGCAGCAGUGGGGAAUCUUGCACAAUGGGGGAAACCCUGAUGCAGCGACGCCGCGUGAGCGAUGAAGUCCUUCGGGAUGUAAAGCUCUUUCGACGGGAACGAUAAUGACGGUACCCGGAGAAGAAGCUGCGGCUAACUACGUGCCAGCAGCCGCAGUAAAAC